UUGCUUCAGAAGCACAUACACUAAAGCUGAAACAGUAUAGAAAAGACUUGCAUGGUCUCUGCACAAGAAUAAAAUGCAAGAUUCAUAAGUAUUCCUUAUUUUC